rnacentral:siRNA from 1 species
CAACAGAGGUGUCGAUCGACAC